UUCUGAUAUUUUGUGGCUAGC
rnacentral:miRNA from 1 species